CACCUUUUGACAUGCCCUGAUCGCUGGAGAGAUCCAGUUUUCCCUUCGGGGACAGGGACACAGGUGCUGCAUGGCUGUCGUCAGCUCGUGUCGUGAGAUGUUGGGUUAAGUCCCGCAACGAGCGCAACCCUCGCCAUUAGUUGCCAUCAUUAAGUUGGGCACUCUAAUGGGACCGCCGGUGGUAAGCCGGAGGAAGGUGGGGAUGACGUCAAGUCCUCAUGGCCCUUACGGGGUGGGCUACACACGUGCUACAAUGGCGACUACAGAGGGUUGCAACCCUGCGAAGGUGAGCUAAUCCCUAAAAGUCGUCUCAGUUCGGAUUGCACUCUGCAACUCGAGUGCAUGAAGUCGGAAUCGCUAGUAAUCGCGGAUCAGCAUGCCGCGGCGAAUACGUUCCC
rnacentral:rRNA from 1 species